rnacentral:tRNA from 1 species
GGGGGCGUGGCGAAAGUGGUAGACGCACUGGAUUUAGGUUCCAGCGCCGCAAGGUGUAAGAGUUCGAGUCUCUUCGCCCCCACCA